UGAACAUGGAGUCAGGAGCAGAGGAACAUGCGGCAGAGAGCUGGGCAAAGGCUGAGCCCACCAGGCCUGGCAGCCGGGGAAAGAGAGCCCCCUGGGUCUGAAAUAGAGGCUGGAGAGGAGGACUGUGAGUCCAGAGGAGGGAGAGUGAUGGUAUCCCACACACAAGCCAGCGUGUCUAGGACUCCUAUCUGAAGACACUGCAGAGUGAUCAAAGUUAACAUCACUGCAACGGUAAUGGGAUGAUGAAGCCAAGCUGGGAGCAGGGGUGCACUGAGAACAGACGCCGCUUCUGCGGUAUCCCUGCCAGAAAGCCUCAACCUGAACCUAAUCAUGAGGAAACAUCAGGCCAACCCAAACUAAGGGACAACCUACACAUUAAACGUCUUGGAAUCUCCGAAAGUGACAAGGUCAUGAAAAUCAAGGAAAGGCUGAGGAGCUUUCCAGACUGAAGGCAGCAAAAAGACUUGGCAACCGAAAGUAACGGCGGCUUCUGAACCAGAUUCUGUUGAUGCCCACAAGGACAUCACUGGGACCACUGGCGGGACUUCCCUGGGUCUAGACUGAAUGGUAUUAAAGUAUCCAUGUCAAUUUCCUGAUUUUGAUAGCGGGGCUGGUCAGGUAAGAGAGUCCUUGUAGAAAAAUCAGGAAAGU
rnacentral:lncRNA from 10 species